UACGGAGGGUGCGAGCGUUGUCCGGAAUCACUGGGCGUAAAGGGCGCGUAGGCGGCGCGGGGAGUCAACGGUGAAAGCUCGGCGCUCAACGCCGAGUCGGCCGUCGAUACUCCCGUGCUUGAGCACUGUAGAGGCAGGUGGAAUUCCGGGUGUAGCGGUGGAAUGCGUAGAGAUCCGGAAGAACACCGGUGGCGAAGGCGGCCGCUGG
rnacentral:rRNA from 1 species